GACGAAGGAUGCAAGCGUUAUCCGGAUUUAUUGGGCGUAAAGAGCGCGUAGGCGGCCGAGUAAGUCCGACGUGAAAUCUGGAGGCUCAACCUCCAGCGGUCGUUGGAAACUACUCGGCUAGAGUCCGGAAGAGGAGAGUGGAAUUCCUGGUGUAGCGGUGAAAUGCGCAGAUAUCAGGAAGAACACCGAUGGCGAAAGCAGCUCUCUGGGACGGUACUGACGCUGAGGCGCGAAAGCGUGGGGAGUGAACAGG
rnacentral:rRNA from 1 species